AGAGUUUGAUCAUGGCUCAGGACGAACGCUGGCGGCGUGCCUAACACAUGCAAGUCGAACGAGGCUGAUCUGGUGGCAACACCAGUGACUGCCUAGUGGCGAACGGGUGAGUAACACGUGAGGAACCUGCCCCGAAGACCGGGAUAACCCUCCGAAAGGAGAGCUAAUACCGGAUACCCCCAUCGGAUCGCAUGAUCUGAUGAGGAAAUGGAUUCCGCUUCGGGAGGGCCUCGCGGCCUAUCAGCUAGUUGGUGGGGUAACGGCCCACCAAGGCAUCGACGGGUAGCUGGUCUGAGAGGACGAUCAGCCACACUGGGACUGAGACACGGCCCAGACUCCUACGGGAGGCAGCAGUGGGGAAUCUUGCGCAAUGGGCGAAAGCCUGACGCAGCAACGCCGCGUGGGGGAUGAAGGCUCUCGGGUUGUAAACCCCUUUCAGCAGGGACGAAUCAAGACGGUACCUGCAGAAGAAGC
rnacentral:rRNA from 1 species